UUCUUUGCACACAUUCGCAGCGACAUUCCCCCCCAAUUAUCCAAAGCUGUCAAACUAGCUUAGCUGGCUAGCCGGGUCAGUUAGCCACCUAGCCAGGAAGUUAGCUUGUUGGCUAACUGAGUUAGCUUGACCUGUCGAGAAAUAACAACAACACGCUUAAGUACGUCGCGGCGGCACACACCGACUGCCAUAAAAGUAACAAUGGCACUGAAAAAGUGCAGACGUUGAGAGAAAGAGUCCAAUUUGCCAACUAGGCUACGUGGCUACUAGCCCCAGCUAGCUAACUUGUUAGAGUGACGUGACGUCAAAGUUGUUCAUACGUGUCUCUUUCAAAGCAGGAGGCGCAAACUCAGGAGAGUUCACUGGCGUCACUUUAAUGACUGGAAUGGCCAUGAUGUGCCGAAGACCUGACAUGGCAAACAUUUUGUCACAGAAACACUGUGAACGGUGGAGAGGUCCUCGAGAGGUGAUCUUGGGAUCACUUCCUGAGGAUCCUUGAUGCCGAGGAAUGUUCAUCCAUCUUGCUGUGGUCUCGAUAGCCUGCUGAUCCUGAGCCGGAGCGGGAUGGAUGGAUAUAUAUAUACAAUAUCUGGGUUUUUUUUUCUAAUAAUGUUUAUACUUUAAACCUUGAGUUGUUAAAGUUCAAGUGCACCUCUUUCCUCAAGUGUGCAUGUGAGUGUGUAUGAGUGGAUGUGUGAUUGUAUGAAGGCUUUGCGUGAGCAAAG